UGGGGAAUUUUGGACAAUGGGCGAAAGCCUGAUCCAGCAAUGCCGCGUGUGUGAAGAAGGCCUUCGGGUUGUAAAGCACUUUUGUCCGGAAAGAAAUCCUUGGCUCUAAUACAGUCGGGGGAUGACGGUACCGGAAGAAUAAGCACCGGCUAACUACGUGCCAGCAGCCGCGGUAAUACGUAGGGUGCAAGCGUUAAUCGGAAUUACUGGGCGUAAAGCGUGCGCAGGCGGUUUGCUAAGACCGAUGUGAAAUCCCCGGGCUCAACCUGGGAACUGCAUUGGUGACUGGCAGGCUAGAGUAUGGCAGAGGGGGGUAGAACUCCACGUGUAGCAGUGAAAUGCGUAGAGAUGUGGAGGAAUACCGAUGGCGAAGGCAGCCCCCUGGGCCAAAUACUGACGCUCAUGCACGAAAGCGUGGGGAGCAAACAGGAUUAGAUACCCUGGUAGUCCACGCCCUAAACGAUGUCAACUAGUUGUUGGGGAUUCAUUUCCUUAGUAACGUAGCUAACGCGUGAAGUUGACCGCCUGGGGAGUACGGUCGCAAGAUUAAAACUCAAAGGAAUUGACGGGGUCAUAGCUG
rnacentral:rRNA from 1 species